GUCAUCAUGACAGCUUUGACUGGCAGCUGCAGUCACGGAGAAACUUGCUUAUCUCUGUUCGGGAAGGGCAGAUGGAGCGGGAAGGUGAGAGGAGGUCCAGCGUUUACGUUACAAAACCACGACCGACUGUUUCAAAGUGACAGCCUGAGGUGUUCUUGAGUAAACUGGACUACCCCACAGACGGACUGAAGCCCCGUUGCUUUUUUUUCGGGUUGUGAUCCAAAUCAGCGUGGAGCAGAACACACCAUAGGAGACGUACAACUCUGCUGUUGAACACCUCAAGACUGAAGGUACACCAGAUAUAGAAGGAGCUAAAAGAAAAGAAGGCUAAUCUACACCAAGCAUCUGAAGAACAACAUGCAAGUCCUCAAACACAUUGGAUCCAAAACCUGUUCUAGUUCCUCCGAUACCAUCAGAGACUUGAAAGCCCUCUACUGUCAAGUCUGGUUAAAAAGAAACUUUGUCAACCACUACAAGUAUCAAGUGUUUUAAAUUUGAUUUGACUGUUUAUUAUGUACAUUUUUGUUUUUGGUUGUAUUAAGUUUAAUAUUAAUCAUGUUAGUGCGUUAUUAGUCAUUAAUUUGAUUAUUUAAUAUUAAUGGUUUAAUCAUUGUUUCUAUUGGUUUUUAUUAAUGUUUCUAGCAAAUUAUAACAACAAGUCACUGAAUGUAAAUUUUAUGCCAAUCAGCCGUAUUAUGUUUAUUACCUCAUUUGUAGGACCUUAAUUUUUUCAGGGACAUUCUGGCUACAACAGCUGCCAGUAAUUGAAUGUAAAUAUGAACUUUUGAAUAAAAAAAAAAAAAAUAUUGUAUUAUACAGCUCUUCUGUACUUUUUCAAUAGGAGACUGUAAUCAAGCUUAUUAAAAAUGUAUUUUGACAACAGGUUUACAUUAUAUUAAUUUUUUGUUUCAAUGUAAUUAUUGUACAAAAACAGCAACAACAGUUCACUGUGAAUUUUACAUUUAUCAACAAAGUAUACCAUUAUGUAUUCUGCAUUAUCACUAUAUUUUCCACAGUGAA